rnacentral:rRNA from 1 species
UCCUGGUGGCGAGUGGCGAACGGGUGAGUAAUAUAUCGGAACGUGCCCAAUCGUGGGGGAUAACGCAGCGAAAGCUGUGCUAAUACCGCAUACGAUCUACGGAUGAAAGCGGGGGACUCAGCAAUGAGCCUCGCGCGAAUGGAGCGGCCGAUAUCAGAUUAGCUAGUUGGUGGGGUAAAGGCUCACCAAGGCGACGAUCUGUAGCUGGUCUGAGAGGACGACCAGCCACACUGGAACUGAGACACGGUCCAGACUCCUACGGGAGGCAGCAGUGGGGAAUUUUGGACAAUGGGCGCAAGCCUGAUCCAGCAAUGCCGCGUGCAGGAUGAAGGCCUUCGGGUUGUAAACUGCUUUUGUACGGAACGAAAAGACUCCUUUUA